CCUACGGGAGGCAGCAGUGGGGGAUAUUGCACAAUGGGGGAAACCCUGAUGCAGCGACGCCGCGUGAGGGAAGACGGCCUUCGGGUUGUAAACCUCUGUCGCAGGGGACGAAGGCAGUGACGGUACCCUGGGAGGAAGCCACGGGUAACUACGUGCCAGCAGCCGCGGUAAUACGUGGGUGGCGAGGGUUGUCAGGAAUUACGGGGGGUAAGGGGAGCGUAGGCGGGAGUGCAAGUAGUAUGUAUAUAUUAUGGGCUCACCUGAUAAAAGCGUUCAAAACUGCACAUCUUGAGUGUAGUAGAGGCAGGCGGAAUUCCAAGUGUAGCGGUGAAAUGCGUAGAUAUUAGGAGGAACACCAGUGGCGAAGGCGGCCUGCUGGGCUUUAACUGACGCUGAGGCUCGAAAGCGUGGGUAGCAAACAGGAUUAGAUACCCCUGUAGUC
rnacentral:rRNA from 1 species